GACGUAGGGCGCGAGCGUUGUCCGGAUUUAUUGGGCGUAAAGAGCUCGUAGGCGGUUUGUCGCGUCUGCUGUGAAAACUCAGGGCUUAACCCUGAGCCUGCAGUGGGUACGGGCAGACUAGAGUGUGGUAGGGGAGAUCGGAAUUCCUGGUGUAGCGGUGAAAUGCGCAGAUAUCAGGAGGAACACCGGUGGCGAAGGCGGGUCUCUGGGCCGAUACUGACGCUGAGGAGCGAAAGCGUGGGGAGCGAACAGG
rnacentral:rRNA from 1 species